ACAUGCUGGCAGAGCAGCAGUUUGUGCUCACAGAUGGUGACAGUGUGGAGAGACGGUGGUGUUUCCUCAGAAGAACCAGCAGAGUCACAAAGGACACAAGUCCAUCUCACCACCUUGACUUGCUGACUGAUGUUCGUCUGCACUGCACAGAGGAAAUCAACUGACCGAGGAGUGUUUCUGAGUGAGGGAGAGAGGAGUCAUCAUCCAGUUUAAGUGACGUAGAUCAGUGGAUACACUUGUCUCCCCUUUAAUGGAGACGAUCCAAGUCAUCCUUAAAUAUGGGCAGGAUAUCAGUCUUGGACUGUCUAACCUGCCGGAACAGCACUGAAUGACCACCACACAUGAGCAUGUUCCUGCAACAUUCAGCAUCUGAUCCUUCAUCUGUGUGCUUCUGCUUUUGUGUCACAUGUCAAACAGCUGGAGAGGAAACUACACCAGUGUACUGGGAUGUUUCAGCAACACGUGCCAGAUGCUGUUCCUUCAUGGUGACAUCACCAGAGACAGCCCCACCCACCUCAGGACCUCGCCAUUGAUCAUGAUGAUUAUAAUGAUGACAGCGAGCGGAACUAAGACUGUAAAAAUCCACGACCAGAAUUUUUCUUUCUAAUUAUUAAUGAAUACUGAGAGCCUCUUUCUGUGUUUUGUCUGUUUUUUGUUUUGUUUUGUUUUUAAAACCUCAUUUGUUACUAACAAAGUUCACCAAACUCACACAGUUUACAUUCUGUAUGUUUCCAUCUUUACCAGCCACACUCUAACUGCAUUUAAGAAAAUAAUCCUUAGAAAUCGUCGUUUUUCUCUUUUGCAAUUGAUGAUAAUUCAGUGAAUAAACUGCUGUUUGAAUUCUCUGUAUGUUUGACCCUGUAGACUGUUUGAUGGACUGCUUGUCUUCCU